UAGGUUACGUCAAGACUCACGGUUAUUAACCGUAGGCUUUUCUUCUCUACUGAAAGUGCUUUACAACCCGCAGGCCUUCUUCACGCACGCGGCAUUGCUGGAUCAGGCUUGCGCCCAUUGUCCAAUAUUCCCC
rnacentral:rRNA from 1 species